GAGGUCCAGCCUGCCCAGUGACAAAUGUUCAACGGCCGCGGUAUCCUAACCGUGCGAAGGUAGCGUAAUCACUUGUUCUUUAAAUGGGGACUAGUAUGAACGGCAUCACGAGGGUUACACUGUCUCCUCUCUCUAAUCAGUGAAACUAAUCUCCCCGUGAAGAAGCGGGGAUAAAUAUAUAAGACGAGAAGACCCUAUGGAGCUUUAAAUUUUCAUCCAGGCACUAAACUACCACCUUAAGUCACUGACCCUUACCACAAUCACCACGGCGCCCUGGAGAUGAAUUUUAGGUUGGGGUGACCACGGAGUACAAAAAAACCUCCACGCUGAACAGGCCUCUUAAGUCUUGAGCAAAGGGCCACAACCCAGAGCACUAAAAAACUAACACCCAUUGACCCAAUUUUAUUUGAUCAACGAACCAAGUUACCCUAGGGAUAACAGCGCAAUCUACUUCAAGAGUUCUUAUCGACAAGUGGGUUUACGACCUCGAUGUUGGAUCAGGGUACCCCAGUGGUGCAGCCGCUACUAACGGUUCGUUUGUUCAACGAUUAAAACCCU
rnacentral:rRNA from 1 species